UGGGGAAUUUUGGACAAUGGGCGAAAGCCUGAUCCAGCAAUGCCGCGUGUGUGAAGAAGGCCUUCGGGUUGUAAAGCACUUUUGUCCGGAAAGAAAUCCUUGGCUCUAAUACAGUCGGGGGAUGACGGUACCGGAAGAAUAAGCACCGGCUAACUACGUGCCAGCAGCCGCGGUAAUACGUAGGGUGCAAGCGUUAAUCGGAAUUACUGGGCGUAAAGCGUGCGCAGGCGGUUUGCUAAGACCGAUGUGAAAUCCCCGGGCUCAACCUGGGAACUGCAUUGGUGACUGGCAGGCUAGAGUAUGGCAGAGGGGGGUAGAACUCCACGUGUAGCAGUGAAAUGCGUAGAGAUGUGGAGGAAUACCGAUGGCGAAGGCAGCCCCCUGGGCCAAUACUGACGCUCAUGCACGAAAGCGUGGGGAGCAAACAGGAUUAGAUACCCUGGUAGUCCACGCCCUAAACGAUGUCAACUAGUUGUUGGGGAUUCAUUUCCUUAGUAACGUAGCUAACGCGUGAAGUUGACCGCCUGGGGAGUACGGUCGCAAGAUUAAAACUCAAAUGAAUUGACGGGGUCAUAGCUGUUUCCU
rnacentral:rRNA from 1 species